rnacentral:rRNA from 1 species
GAUUAACGCUGGCGGCGUGCCUAACACAUGCAAGUCGAGCGGCAGCGAGUUUUACACUGAAUUCUGGAAGCUUCUAGUUGAAAGAGAAGAUUUAUUCAAGAAUUUUGUGUAAAAUGUCGGCGAGCGGCGGACGGCUGAGUAACGCGUGGGAACGUACCCCAAAGUGCGGGAUAACGCAUCGAAAGGUGUGCUAAUACCGCAUAUGGUCUUCGGAUUAAAGCCUUCGGGCGCUUUGGGAACGGCCUGCGUAAGAUUAGAUAGUUGGUGGGGUAAUGGCCUACCAAGUCGACGAUCUUUAACUGGUUUGAGAGGAUGAUCAGUCAGACUGGAACUGAGACACGGUCCAGACUCCUACGGGAGGCAGCAGUGAGGAAUCUUCCACAAUGGGCGAAAGCCUGAUGGAGCAACGCCGCGUGCAGGAUGAAGGCCUUCGGGUUGUAAACUGCUUUUAUAAGUGAGGAUUAUGACAGUAACUUAUGAAUAAGGAUCGGCUAACUACGUG